rnacentral:rRNA from 1 species
AUUGCAUGUGUUCAGCCCUUUUUUGGGUGCAUUGACAUGGAAUUUUAUUCGCCGUGGGUUUUUUGGGAAUGGAUUUUGCAUUCCUAUAGACUGAGGGCUCCCUUCGGGUUGAGGACGGCAAAGUGACGACGCGAUACGACCCGUCUUGAAACACGGACCAAGGAGUCUAGCGCGAUUGCGAGUCUAAGGGUGCUGAAACCUGAUGGCGCAGUGAAAGCGAGUCUAAAAACGAGCAGUUUGAGGCGGCAUAAAAUCGUUGAUUUUAAGUCCGACCUAGAGCAAUUGCGCUGGGACCCGAAAGAUGGUGAACUAUGCCGGAGUAGGGCGAAGCCAGAGGAAACUCUGGUGGAGGCUCGUAGCGGUGCUGACGUGCAAAUCGCUCGUCCAACUUGGGUAUAGGGGCGAAAGACUAAUCGAACCAUCUAGUAGCUGGUUCCCUCCGAAGUUUCUCUCAGGAUAGCGGGCCGACUUGUUGUUGUUCUGUGUGGUAAAGCGAAUGAUUAGCGUAAUUGGGGACAUUUGGUCUUCGGGCGAUUCUCAAACUUUAAAUACGCAGGGGUGUCGCUGCUUUGUUGAGCGGCACCGGUAAAAACGUCGGCCCUGUGGGCCACUUUUGGUA